AUUGAACGCUGGCGGCAGGCCUAACACAUGCAAGUCGAACGCGUGGCGGACGGGUGAGUAAUGUCUGGGAAACUGCCCGAUGGAGGGGGCUAACUACUGGAAACGGUAGCUAAUACCGCAUACCAUCGGAUGUGCCCAGAUGAGAUUAGCUGGUAGGUGAGGUAACGGCCACCCUAGGCGACGAUCCCUAGCGGGUCUGAGAGGAUGACCGGCCACAUUGGAACUGGGACACGGUCCAGACUCCUACGGGAGGCAGCAGGGGGGAAUAUUGCACAAUGGGCUCAAGCCUGAUGCAGCCAUGCCGCGUGUAUGAAGAAGGCCUUCGGGUUGUAAAGUACUUUCAGCGGGUAGGCGUUACCCGCAGAAGAAGCACCGGCUAACUCCGUGCCAGCAGCCGCGGUAAUAC
rnacentral:rRNA from 1 species